CCCUUAGAUGUUCUGGGCCGCACACGCGCUACAAUGGCAAAGUCAACGAGCUUAUCCUAUGCUGACAAGCACAGGUAAUCUUUUCAGUCUUUGUCGUGAUGGGGAUAGACCCUUGUAAUUAUUGGUCUCCAACGAGGAAUUCCUAGUAAACGCAAGUCAUCAACUUGCAUUGAUUACGUCCCUGCCCUUUGUACACACCGCCCGUCGCACCUACCGAUUGAAUGGUCCGGUGAAGCCUCCGGAUUGGCGCGCACCUCGGUGCCGCCGAGAAGUUGGCUAAACCUUACCAUUUAGAGGAAGGUGAAGUCGUAACA
rnacentral:rRNA from 1 species